GCCAAUUUAUUCCUCUUGUUCCCUUUUGUUCUUCCUUGACCGAAAUGAGAGAGAGAAAGGAAGAGUGGAAUUCUUCAUCUUCUUCCUCCUUGAAGCUUCAAACUCCAUAGCCAAGCUUCCUUCACAAAUGUCAACCUAUUCGGGUUUUAAGGUAAAUCUGGGAAAAAUCAUCUACAAAGAUCUCCUACAAGUUUUGGAACCCGGUUGAGAGAGGAAAAAUGCUGGACAGCACACUGCCAAGGGCAAAAAUGGAAUUUUCUGUGUUAAUUCUUGAGCCUAGAUGACCAAAACCUUUUAUGGACAUCAAGUACUAUGAGUUAGGGUUCUACCAUAAAAAUUUCAAGUGGAAAAGAGUUCGGGAACUAUUUUUAGCGGUUCAAUCUUUCGGACUGCGCAAGCUGAAUUACUGUCCAGAAUAGGCAGAAUCCGUGGACGCGGUAGCGGACGCGCGUUCACCGGGCGUCCAAGGGUGCGAAAGUAAGAUUAAAUGGUGUAAGCUUCAUUAUUGAUUAUUGAUGUUUAGAAGAUGAGGUUGUUUGAUGUUCGUCAGAUCAAAGUAAGCUUUGAUAGUUGUUGAUGUUUAGAUGAUGGGGUUGUAAAUUACCUAAGAGGUUAUGAGAAUGAUGAUGAUGUUAUAACAUGUUGAUACAUGAGUUAUGAAAUGGUGAUAAAGUUAGAGUGGAGUUUGUCAAAGAGGUGAUAGAAUUCACUCUAGGUGUGACGGUAGCACCCAGUUUUCUGCUGAUAAGAUGUAAGUUUCCGCUGAUGUAUUAUUACGGAUUUGUAAUAAAUGUAAGAGUGAAAAUUGGGGUGUUACAGUUUGAUCCUUCAAACUUUUGGGAUUAAAGCAUUGUAUUCAAUCCUUGUUCUAGUUCGCCGAAAAUAAUAUAGAUUGAGUGCUCAACUAUAUUAUUGUAAUUCAUUUUAUCCUGGGAGACCGACAAUACAACGCUCCUAGCACCAUGGGAGGUAGCGAAUUGGUUUUAAGGAAACUGUGUUAUAUACGACUUGGAUUUUUCCAUUACUGUUUUCAUUUCUAUUACCGGACUGUUAUUUUCGGAUUUCUCAUUUAUAUUCGGAAUAUAUUGUUAUUUUCGAAUUAUUUCUUGCCAAUUUAUGUUCUGUUAUUAUUAUUGAUGUACAUGUUUAUUGUACCAAAUUCUCCUACUAUAUUUCUGUCUCAUGUAUUAUUAGAAGAUGAUCCGGGCAAACCCUUUCCUUUCAUUUUUCCCUAACAUUUCGUUCGGCAGAGAAGUAAACAGAAUCAUUUUUUUUGUUUUCUUUACCCCUCAUUUCUUGUUGGAGCUCAUAUUCACCUUGCUGUUGCCGUGGAUGGGUUUGGCUAGUUAUUUGAUGUUGUCUUUAUCAUAUAUUUUGAAGGUCAGUUUAAAUUUAUAUUAUGUCUCUUUUGGAUAUUCGCGUAUUGUUCUUUGUAAUAUAUGCAGUUAUAGAUUAUAGACAUUUUUUGACAUGUGCAAGAUAUAUGUUAGAAAUAUUUGUAUAUAUAGAUUCCUAAUGUAAAGAUGUAUUUUAGUAUACAUUAAAUUAAUAAUAACGAUAUGGAAAAAGGUUCUUUCUCUAAUUUUUUUUUCCAAACAUAUUCAGUUGACAUAGAAAAUGAGUUACCAACAACAGAACUUAACGUUUACAACAUAAGAUUUAAUUUUAGACUCACAGGUUGUGAAGGGGCGUAGAAUUACAUUUGUAAUGUGAAGAUGUAUUUUAGUAUACAUUAAAUUAAUAAUAAUGAUAUAACAAAAGUUUCUUUAUCUGUUUUUUUCCCAAACAUAUUCAUUUCAUAAAGAAAAUGAUUUACCAAGAACAUAACUUAACUUUCACAACAUAAGAUAUAAUUUUAGACUCACAGGUUGUGUAGCAGCGUAGAAUUCUCACCUAUCAGAAUGGAUGCAAGCCAUGCCGCUGUUUACAGGUUGCAAAGCAGUGUAGAAUUCGAAGGUUUCAGGGAAUUUGAGGUAUAUUAUGGUGUUCAAACUCGUGGAGAAAGGCUGCAUUUUAUGUGCACUCAGAAAAGCACUUUCAAAAAAGAAAGGUCCGUGACUACAAUAAUUAAAGCAUUAGUAUGAGACAAGUUCUCUUAACAUAUUUUCCCGUAACUUGCGGUAUUGUGUUCCUUUUCAUUGUCAGAUAAAUAUUAUGUUAUUUAUAUGUUUUGGAAUAUUGUGUUUGGUGGCCGACGUUACCCGUUCGAAAUGAUAUAAUUAUAAAGUUUUUUAAAAA